rnacentral:rRNA from 1 species
UGCAAGUCGUACGAGNAGUUUUUAACUCAAGUGGCGGACGGGUGAGUAACACGUAAGAAUUUGCCUUUAGGAGGGGGACAACAACUGGAAACGGUUGCUAAUACCCCAUAUGCUUUCGAGUGAAACGGUUUUUCCGCCUAAAGAGAAGCUUGCGGCUGAUUAGCUUGUUGGUAAGGUAAUGGCUUACCAAGGCGACGAUCAGUAUCUGGUUUGAGAGGACGAUCAGACACACUGGAACUGAGACACGGUCCAGACUCCUACGGGAGGCAGCAGUGGGGAAUUUUCCGCAAUGGGCGAAAGCCUGACGGAGCAAUACCGCGUGAGGGAUGAAUGCCUAUGGGUUGUAAACCUCUUUUUUCAGGGAGGAAAAAAAUGACGUUACCUGAAGAAUAAGCAUCGGCUAACUCCGUGCCAGCAGCCGCGGUAAGACGGAGGAUGCAAGUGUUAUCCGGAAUCACUGGGCGUAAAGCGUCUGUAGGUGGUUUGAUAAGUCAACUGUUAAAUCUUGAGGCUCAACCUCAAAACCGCAGUCGAAACUAUUAGACUA